CCACUUUUUUGGCACGCUGGUUUUGGCUAUAUUUAGCUCUAAAACUUCAUAGUUAUUUCGGAUUUCAAACAUUUCGGUUGAGCAUCACUGAAGAGACAUUAUUUGUCGAAAUGUGCAUCUGGUGCAUCAAAAUUGAGGCCAUAUGCUUUAAUUGCUGCCCAUCAAAUAGCAUGUACAGUGUCUUUGUGUAAAUUAGAUUCAUUUUGAGGAAAUAGCAGGUGUGCAGUGCACAUUCCUAGAUGAAUUCAUCAGUUUACAAUAAGGAUCUACCUUCAAAUCCUGUAAUCUGGGAUUCUCUAAAGUGCAUGUCACAGACUAAAGUUAUAAAAAUAACUUCCAAUAAUUUUUAAGAAAUUGUUAUAACUUUAAAAUGUAUGUAUAUACAUGUAUACUGAUAUUGAAUUAAAUUUCGUAAA